UCCUACCGGUGGCAACACCGGGAAAGACCUAGCGGCGAACGGGUGAGUAACACGUGAGGAACCUGUCCCGAAGACCGGGAUAACCCUCCGAAAGGGGGGCUAAUACCGGAUACCCUCUUCCGGUCGCAUGGCUGGAUGAGGAAAGGGCUUUACCGCUUCGGGAGGGCCUCGCGGCCUAUCAGCUUGUUGGUGAGGUAACGGCUCACCAAGGCGACGACGGGUAGCUGGUCUGAGAGGACGAUCAGCCACACUGGGACUGAGACACGGCCCAGACUCCUACGGGAGGCAGCAGUGGGGAAUCUUGCGCAAUGGGCGAAAGCCUGACGCAGCAACGCCGCGUGCGGGAUGAAGGCCUUCGGGUCGUAAACCGCUUUCAGUGGGGACGAAUCCAGACGGUACCCACAGAAGAAGCCCCGGCCAACUACGUGCCAGCAGCCGCGGUAACACGUAGGGGGCGAGCGUUGUCCGGAUUCAUUGGGCGUAAAGAGCUCGUAGGCGGC
rnacentral:rRNA from 1 species